AUCACAUGACUGAUGUAAUUGGCAUGGGCUAAAUCAAACCAUCAAGUAAUCAUAUUUGAGACUCAAUCUUCCUAAUUGGUUAGGUAAGUUGAGAUUGGUGGGGGUCCCCCCGUUGCGUUCCUUCGACACCAAUAAAUUGGCUAGGUAAGUGAACGAAACUAAUUAAAUAACUAUCUUUCAAUUACUUGCCUUAGACACCAAUCGGUCAAUUGAUCCGAACAGGUUAGCUUAGGUGAAUCAGACUCGAGCCAC
rnacentral:lncRNA from 1 species